UUAGCUCAUAUUUGUAUGGAAUGGGAUCGUUUGCGUACGUUUGCCGCUAGGGGCGCUAUUCCAAUUGCAUACAAAAUUGGGUUA
rnacentral:pre_miRNA from 1 species